rnacentral:sRNA from 1 species
AAAAUUCUUUUAAUUGAAAAUUUCUUGGAAAGCAGUAGUGUUUGGAGCAAAAAUUUUUAAAAUUUGUACUUCAGUGCGAGGCCAUGUGGUCUCACAAUUUAAAACAAAGAAAAGUUGAUAUAACAAUCGCAUGCGACUGCAAUGAAUGGAUGAAAAAAUGUGAAAAAACACGUGGCGAGAGAUGAAAAGAGAUGGAGAUAGCCGGCUUUGAACUCAUGGCUUUGCCAGAAAGGAAGCCGCCAUUUUAUCUUGAAGCAAUUCUGAAAAAUGUGAUCGAGAAUAAAGUGUUGAUUUCGUGAAAGUUCUUCAAUUGCAACUCUUUUAUCAUGAGGUUUAUCUGCUGCUGGAAAACAUUAAAAUCUAUGAGUCGUGAAUCAUAAGAUCUGACAAGAAACGACUUAAUGUAGAAGCAAGCUGAUUCAAUUCAAUGGAAAGCAAUUUAGUCGUUUGCGAUAUCUUUUUCUCGAGGGGCUGACUGACUGAUGGUUAAGAACGUUCAAAUUGAAUGGAACUAGGCAGACCAAUUUGCUUUAUGAAGAUCAUCGGAUUACCGAACACACUUAAGAUGUUUCCCUAAAUCACAAAAACCUGGACAUGCCUCGAACUAUAAAGGUUUUUUUUUUUAAACUGGAGUUAUCCAUUAUUGAGGUAGAAACUUGCAUCUCAUAUAGCCCAAAAGGUUUAUCCACAAAAUGGGCUCAAUAUCAAACAGUUUUCUGAAAUAAAUGCAAUUAAAUUACUGAAA